rnacentral:rRNA from 1 species
CCUACGGGUGGCAGCAGUAGGGAAUCUUCCACAAUGGGCGAAAGCCUGAUGGAGCAACGCCGCGUGGGUGCAGAAGGUCUUCGGAUCGUAAAACCCUGUUGUUAGAGAAGAAAGUGCGUGAGAGUAACUGUUCACGUUUCGACGGUAUCUAACCAGAAAGCCACGGCUAACUACGUGCCAGCAGCCGCUGUAAUACGUAGGUGGCAAGCGUUAUCCGGAUUGAUUGGGCGUAAAGGGAACGCAGGCGGUCUUGUAAGUCUGAUGUGAAAGCCUUCGGCUUAACCGGAGUAGUGCAUUGGAAACUGGGAGACGUGAGUGCAGAAGAGGAGAGUGGAACUCCAUGUGUAGCGGUGAAAUGCGUAGAUAGAUGGAAGAACAGCAGUGGCGAAAGCGGCUCUCUGGUCUGUAACUGACGCUGAGGUUCGAAAGCGUGGGUAGCAAACAGGAUUAGAUACCCGGGGAGUC